GGAUGAACAACUUGCAUUGCAUGUGCAGAUUAAAGGAAAAAAAAGGGAUGCACAUACUCUCAGUCUCAGAUGGUGUUAUGUGGGCCCUGCCGCCCAUGUUCUUCCAUUUUCUUUCUCAUCUUGUAUUGCAAAGUUGGAGGAGCACAGUCCAGCGGAGUUUCCCCUUGUGCAUUCUUGUAGUCCAGGCUUGCUCCAGAUUCC
rnacentral:misc_RNA from 1 species